rnacentral:rRNA from 1 species
CUGCAACUCGCCUGCAUGAAGCCGGAAUCGCUAGUAAUCGCGGAUCAGCACGCCGCGGUGAAUACGUUCCCGGGCCUUGUACACACCGCCCGUCACACCACGAGAGUUUGUAACACCCGAAGUCGGUGAGGUAACCUUUUGGAGCCAGCCGCCUAAGGUGGGAUAGAUGAUUGGGGUGAAGUCGUAACAAGGUAGCCGUAUCGGAAGGUGCGGCUGGAUCACCUCCUUU